CCUCCUUUCUUCUUCCUUGCGGCAUCUUGGUCAAUGGUCGGGAGACUGAACCAGCCAAGCCGCGUGAGGGAUGAAGGUACAGAGUAUCGUAAACCUCUUUUGUCAGGGAACAAAGGCGGGGACGCGUCCCCGGAUGAGUGUACCUGAAGAAAAAGCAUCGGCUAACUCCGUGCCAGCAGCCGCGGUAAUACGGAGGAUGCGAGCGUUAUCCGGAUUUAUUGGGUUAAAGGGGUGCGCAGGCGGUCUGUUAAGUCAGCGGUCAAAGCCCGGGGCUCAACCCCGGCCCGCCGUUGAAACUGGCAGUCUCGAGUUGGAGAGAAGUAUGCGGAAUGCGCGGUGUAGCGGUGAAAUGCAUAGAUAUCGCGCAGAACUCCGAUUGCGAAGGCAGCAUGCCGGCUCCACACUGACGCUGAGGCACGAAAGCGUGGGUAUCGAACAGGAUUAGAUACCCGUGUAGUC
rnacentral:rRNA from 1 species